UUUUGUAUAAUGGGUCAGCGACUUAUAUUCUGUAGCAAGGUUAACCGAAUAGGGGAGCCGAAGGGAAACCGAGUCUUAACUGGGCGUUAAGUUGCAGGGUAUAGACCCGAAACCCGGUGAUCUAGCCAUGGGCAGGUUGAAGGUUGGGUAACACUAACUGGAGGACCGAACCGACUAAUGUUGAAAAAUUAGCGGAUGACUUGUGGCUGGGGGUGAAAGGCCAAUCAAACCGGGAGAUAGCUGGUUCUCCCCGAAAGCUAUUUAGGUAGCGCCUCGUGAAUUCAUCUCCGGGGGUAGAGCACUGUUUCGGCAAGGGGGUCAUCCCGACUUACCAACCCGAUGCAAACUGCGAAUACCGGAGAAUGUUAUCACGGGAGACACACGGCGGGUGCUAACGUCCGUCGUGAAGAGGGAAACAACCCAGACCGCCAGCUAAGGUCCCAAAGUCAUGGUUAAGUGGGAAACGAUGUGGGAAGGCCCAGACAGCCAGGAUGUUGGCUUAGAAGCAGCCAUCAUUUAAAGAAAGCGUAAUAGCUCACUGGUCGAGUCGGCCUGCGCGGAAGAUGUAACGGGGCUAAACCAUGCACCGAAGCUGCGGCAGCGACACUAUGUGUUGUUGGGUAGGGGAGCGUUCUGUAAGCCUGUGAAGGUGUACUGUGAGGUAUGCUGGAGGUAUCAGAAGUGCGAAUGCUGACAUAAGUAACGAUAAAGCGGGUGAAAAGCCCGCUCGCCGGAAGACCAAGGGUUCCUGUCCAACGUUAAUCGGGGCAGGGUGAGUCGACCCCUAAGGCGAGGCCGAAAGGCGUAGUCGAUGGGAAACAGGUUAAUAUUCCUGUACUUGGUGUUACUGCGAAGGGGGGACGGAGAAGGCUAUGUUGGCCGGGCGACGGUUGUCCCGGUUUAAGCGUGUAGGCUGGUUUUCCAGGCAAAUCCGGAAAAUCAAGGCUGAGGCGUGAUGACGAGGCACUACGGUGCUGAAGCAACAAAUGCCCUGCUUCCAGGAAAAGCCUCUAAGCAUCAGGUAACAUCAAAUCGUACCCCAAACCGACACAGGUGGUCAGGUAGAGAAUACCAAGGCGCUUGAGAGAACUCGGGUGAAGGAACUAGGCAAAAUGGUGCCGUAACUUCGGGAGAAGGCACGCUGAUAUGUAGGUGAAGCGACUUGCUCGUGGAGCUGAAAUCAGUCGAAGAUACCAGCUGGCUGCAACUGUUUAUUAAAAACACAGCACUGUGCAAACACGAAAGUGGACGUAUACGGUGUGACGCCUGCCCGGUGCCGGAAGGUUAAUUGAUGGGGUUAGCGGUAACGCGAAGCUCUUGAUCGAAGCCCCGGUAAACGGCGGCCGUAACUAUAACGGUCCUAAGGUAGCGAAAUUCCUUGUCGGGUAAGUUCCGACCUGCACGAAUGGCGUAAUGAUGGCCAGGCUGUCUCCACCCGAGACUCAGUGAAAUUGAACUCGCUGUGAAGAUGCAGUGUACCCGCGGCAAGACGGAAAGACCCCGUGAACCUUUACUAUAGCUUGACACUGAACAUUGAGCCUUGAUGUGUAGGAUAGGUGGGAGGCUUUGAAGUGUGGACGCCAGUCUGCAUGGAGCCGGCCUUGAAAUACCACCCUUUAAUGUUUGAUGUUCUAACGUUGGCCCCUGAUCGGGGUUGCGGACAGUGUCUGGUGGGUAGUUUGACUGGGGCGGUCUCCUCCUAAAGAGUAACGGAGGAGCACGAAGGUUGGCUAAUCCUGGUCGGACAUCAGGAGGUUAGUGCAAUGGCAUAAGCCAGCUUGACUGCGAGCGUGACGGCGCGAGCAGGUGCGAAAGCAGGUCAUAGUGAUCCGGUGGUUCUGAAUGGAAGGGCCAUCGCUCAACGGAUAAAAGGUACUCCGGGGAUAACAGGCUGAUACCGCCCAAGAGUUCAUAUCGACGGCGGUGUUUGGCACCUCGAUGUCGGCUCAUCACAUCCUGGGGCUGAAGUAGGUCCCAAGGGUAUGGCUGUUCGCCAUUUAAAGUGGUACGCGAGCUGGGUUUAGAACGUCGUGAGACAGUUCGGUCCCUAUCUGCCGUGGGCGCUGGAGAACUGAGGGGGGCUGCUCCUAGUACGAGAGGACCGGAGUGGACGCAUCACUGGUGUUCGGGUUGUCAUGCCAAUGGCACUGCCCGGUAGCUAAAUGCGGAAGAGAUAAGUGCUGAAAGCAUCUAAGCACGAAACUUGCCCCGAGAUGAGUUCUCCCUGAGACUUAGAGUCUCCUGAAGGAACGUUGAAGACGACGACGUUGAUAGGCCGGGUGUGUAAGCGCAGCGAUGCGUUGAGCUAACCGGUACUAAUGAACCGUGAGGCUUAACCUUACAACGCCGAAG
rnacentral:rRNA from 1 species